rnacentral:rRNA from 1 species
UAAGACAGAGGGGGCAAGCGUUGUCCGGAUUUACUGGGCGUACAGCGCGCGCAGGCGGGUCACGACGUGCCGUGUGACAGGCAUCGGCUCAACCGAUGCAGGCCAGGGUACACGAGCGACCUGGAGGCAGAGAGAGGGAUGUGGAAUACCUGGUGGAGCGGUGAAAUGCGUAGAGAUCAGGUGGAACACCAGCGGCGAAGGCGGCAUCCUGGCUCUGUCCUGACGCUGAGGCGCGAGAGCGUGGGGAGCAAACCGGAUUAGAUACCCGGGUAGUCCACGCCGUAAACGAUGUGUACCCGGCGCUGGGCGGUGAUUGCGCCGCUCGGUGCCCCAGCUUACGCGAUGAGUACACCGCCUGGGGACUACGGCCGCAAGGCUA